UUGGCUCUGGCAGCAACCUGGCCUCUCCAUGCGCGCUGGGCAGGGGUUGAGCCCAGAACCAGGGCGGGGACAGGGAGCCCUCAGGCCCAGGAUGCUCGUGGGCUGGAGGAGGGCGGCUGAGGGGAGGGGCCUUCAGAGCGGAGCGACCCCUCCCCUGCUUAGGUGCCCCGCCCUCGAAAGGGCGUGUUCCCCGACGGCUCCUCUUCCUGCAGGUCCCACCUCGCUCGCACUUCCGCUUUCCUCCGACGACUCGGACACCCGCUGGGCCCUCGUCACCGCCUCCCCAGCGCCCGCUGCCAGCCAGUGCCGCCCGGCGCUCACCUCGUCCUCCGGACGCCGCCCGCCACCGCCCCGCACCGACACUGGGCCCCACGGACGCUGCUGCCAUCGCACGCCCGGAUGGGGACCCAGUGAGGAUGCACCUGCAGGGUCUUGGCUCCGGGACAGGACAGCGUGCAGCACGGUCCCCGAGGAUAACUCCCCCUUGCUGCCCCAAAUGCAGAGGCGGCGGCGGCUGGGCUGCUGCUUCUCCAGGCUGUUUACCAUGAGCCGUAGACCAGAGCCUUCCUCUUCUGCACCAGCCCCGCUGGUGGACUCUGCUUCCUCAGGUAAAAAUAGAUGCAAUACAGCUGUUCUCUUUCUAACGCCAUCUUCUCCAGGACCCAGGAACCUGGCUCAAAAUGAUGGGGGAAAUCCAGGGAUUUGCAGUGGAUACAUCCAAAGGAGGGCACUUCAAUGAUGGAGCACUUCCAUGAGCAUUGGUGUUCCACAGACCCAUGAGGCCACAGUGGGAAUGAUUCUGGGACCCCUUUAUGGAGUUUGUUAAAGUUUCCAGAAAGGUUCCUGUGACCCUGGAAACUUUCUAAGGUCGUCGACCCCCGUUGAUAGUCCUGCAGGUCGGGACACUAAAGUUUUAAAGAAUUGAGUUCUCCACCUUCUCGUGUAACUGCUUAUUUUAUAUCUAAGGACCAUGGACUUGGAAGCCAUAAGUAUCUACAAAAAUGGCACAACUUACCAAGACAACCUAGAAUUACAGUGACCAUUACAGAGAAUGUCCAGUGAGGCAAGAUUGUUCUUUUAAGAAGUGUACUUGAAUGCAAGGGUUUUCAAAUCAACAGAAUGGGAUUCCUAUUUUAAUUGGCAUGGACAAGCCCCAAAAGUCUUCAAAAUUCUAAAAUAGCUUCAUUGAAAGAUUCAUUGCAAAAGGCUAGUGGCAAUUAAAGACACAAGUGUCUAAAACAGAAUUCAUAAAACUGAUGUGACUCCUAAUACUCUCCUAUCCUCCUUUACCUUAGCACCCAGUCUAGUAACCCUGUAUCUGAAUUGCCUUUCCACUCUGAAAAGACUACAAGACCAUAAAUCAAAAUCCACCAAGAUAGUGGCCUUACAACUGAAAGAACUUCAAAGCCAGAAACCUGAAGUACCUGGGCCUCCGCAUUUGCAACCUCCUGGAAGUCAGUCAUCAAACCACUGGCCCAGAAGUCUAAUUUGCAAUCCACUGGGACACUGGAAAAAAGAUUCUCUCAAAGGCUUUGUCAAGUCCUUCCACAUCAACCCAAAUGCUCCCAUAUCUACCUUCAAAGGAAGGUCCCUCCCAGGGUGAUAGGACCCUGAGGGAUUCACCAGUAAACUGCCAACAGUUAACUUCCUUAAACACCAAGGGGAAACUAAGAGUUUUAAGGUUUUAAGGAAAACCUUGCCAAAUUCUGGUAGAUACCAGGGUUAACUUUCUCCUUUAAACUCCACUUGCUUAAGAGCUUACAGAUGGUAUCCUGGGAAAACCGGCAGACACCAGCAAGAGGGAAGAAUUCUUACCAGAGCUAGCUCUCUCAGGUCUCUGCAGUUCCUGGUAGAGAGGAAGAUAAAAUUUCAUGUACCUUCCUUUCCAAAUCCAGACUCUUGUGAAUUUGGUUUUGGGGUACACAUUGCUUACUGGCCCUUUCACUCUCAAGGGCAGCUAUCUCCUUGUUGUUUGUCCAGUUUUGUGUCCUGAGAACUUGGCUUGGUUUCUGCCUUCCUGGGACAUACAGGUUGUCUAUUCUUGCAUUUGCAGGCAACUCAACCAUCAGGUUGGGGCCCCAAAAUAUGGCUAGACAGGAAUGUGGGUGGUACUCCAUGUGCAGCUAAGAUUGUACCAACUGUUGACGGCUCUCAGAGAACUGUCUGUCUUUCUUUUGGUUAUCUUUGAUAGUGGUUUUGGAUAUUGAAAGGAUAGUAUCUUUUCCACCCUCUUUGGAGAUACGUCUGUCACUGGUAGGGUUAUUCAGUACUGCCAGGAAUGUUUACUGUUUGUCCUGUCUGAAACAUGACAAGAUAUUUGAAAGGAUUUUUUUAUUUUUAAUUAGCUGUAUGUUCAGAAGUUGGCCCAAUUGGAAGCUGAUAUUCAAAGCCUGAUAUGAACUAUUUUUAGGUCUUUUCCCCUAAGCUAAAAUGAAACUAUGUACCUGGAGGGAAAGAAAAACAUUAAAAGACAAACAGCUCUAAAUCUAGAACACAGGAAUCUUCUGCUUUGUAUGCUAGUUGAAGAUCAUCUCCCUGAUAGAAAGAAGCAAUUGAAGAUAAUGUAGUUGUAUGGGUGGGGCAAGCCCUUGAUAUCAUUCAUGUUGAAACCCAAUUCUUUGAGGAAUUAAAAACAACUGCCCUACAAAUUGAUCAAGAAUUUAUUACAUAGCUCUGUCUGCCUUCAGGUCAUACCUCACUUGGGAUUCUUCAAUUCUGUAAGAUUUUGAGAAAAUAAAAUUUUCUAUCAAGUAUAUAGUGGCUCAUAUAUGUUUAUAUGUCUGGAUUUCAUGGAAUCUAGAUGAUACUCUUAAAUGAAGUGGUGUAUCAAUAGAAAGACAAGUCUUGUAAACAAGGGUUAUGUUAUUGUGCUUAUGAGUGUAAAAAGAAGACAAAAAAUCCAACUGCAGGAGGCCUAUUUUUGUUCUUAUGGUAAGCAGGGUUGGGGGAGUGAAGGACUAUAGAUCUACUUCUAAUGUAUUGUUUCUUGAAACAUUAAUAUUCAUUCUGUACUGCCAGAAAUGCUUGUGAAGCCCUGUCACUCUAAUUCAAAAAUGCUUUUGAGGGGGCUCCACACUGUCUGCUCUGAAAUGGGACCCUGCUAUUCUUACUUGCAAACUGUCAACAUGAGGCAGGAACUAACUGUCAGUAAGAUUUGCUUUUAUGAAAAUAUACAGUGAUUGGGAAACCCCAACUUCUGUAAAUCCAAGUUCUUAUCAUUUCUUAUACCUCUCUUGUUCUCGUGCCUUAUGAAAAGAGGAUAGCAACCACUAGGGCUUCUCAUUCACUCUUAUGUUGACUUUCAAUUUGCAGAUGAUUUGUUCAACUGCUGCAUUUGCAGAAUUAGUUUGUGACUGUAGGUUAUAAGAGAACCUAAUAGGAUUACCAAACUUUUUCUCCUCCCACUCUUAAAAGUUUCCAUUAUAUACAAAAUGAGUGCCUUCUGGAAUUUUUCCCCCAUUUCAAUACACUGGAGAGUCAGAAGAUGGAAUCAAUUUUAUAGACAAGGAUUGAAUAAAAAGAUCUGUCUUAUUAAUUGUUCGGUAUCUCCAUUUCACUUGUGGUCUCUUCAGUAUCUACAAACACGGAGUCACUGCCCUGGCCCCCAGGCUGCAGGUUCCUGGAACUGCUCCUUUGGAAACACUGUGCCCACAGAGAGGGGAGGACACUGAGCAACAAGUUUU